UUUACAUCAGCUGAUAAAUAUGACACUAAUUGUAGUGAACAUACCUGGCAGUUUGUUGAAUAUGCAUUGGAAAAUCGGGUCUAAAUAUUUAAUAUGAAACAAUAAGUAGCGGCAUCCCAAGAUUACUCAAGAUUAUCGCUAAUCAAAUCAGAAGUUUGGGUAUGAAAUAGCGACAAAUUAUGUUCUGCAGUUGACAACUUGACCUGUUGACGAUACAGAUAGUCUUCAAGCCAAAUCUUUGUCAUUAACCAAGCAAGCUGAAGCAGCAAAUUGGAAUGUGUUUCUGCUGUUACUGUCAUGCCACUGACUUAACCAGGCAAAUGUCAUAGCUACUGAGCUGGAAGCUUUUAUGAUUAUUGACUGUAAAUUUUAUAAGUUUGAUGUGUUAAUGUGAUAAAAAAUGUUGGUACCAAAAUAAAAGUGGACAUUA